GGUAGACUCAGUCACAAACUUGUCUUACCAGAUAAAGUGUUGCAGAUUAAACUAUUUUACCCCCCUGGGAGCAGGUCUCUGUGGCCGUAGGAGUGUAUAGGAAAACCAUCAGCCGAUGUGUCAAGUGGAAGGGAAAACUGAAGUCGAAGGAUUCGUGGCUUUUCACAUACAAAGGCAUCCUCCCAUCCCUCCUGGCCAGCCAGCGAAGGAUGGACAAGUGCACCUGGAGGCUACUGCCCAGGUGCAAGGGGUGGGUGUGGGGCAAGCUGCAGAAUGCCCCAGAACAAAGACACCUCCAGGGGCCUCCUCGGAGGUCACCCGCUGCCUCCAGGGCAGAUUAAGGAGGACUGGAGAUGGCGCUUGGAGGAAAUGGUGCUGUUCUUUGGGAAAUCAAUUCGUCCCACCCUUAAUAGGGUGUUUUGCCCUCCCUCUUUGGGAGUUCCAGGCAAUGGGCUUCCAGGUCUCUACGGUUCUGAAAGAGGCGGCCCCUUUGCCAGCCCAUGUUCCUUCAAACAGCCCAGGCCCCACAAGAAUCUCUUCUGCUCUCUGCCACGUUUCCUUUCCCUUUUCUCCCUCUUUCAGGCUCUCCCGCCCCUCUCUAUACCCAAGCUCCUUUCAUAAUGAGGCUGGAAGUGGAACUUUCCCCCACUCCCUUACUUUGAGAUUUCUUUUUUCCCAGUGACCUGGGCUGCACUUUACCCCCACUCCCUGCCUGCCAAUCUCCUCAGGGUUAGGGCCUUUCUCUAUCCAUUCUUUCAGGUUCCCCCUCCUUGAGAGCUCCAGGAGGCCAGGCCUUCCAGAAUCUGAUCUCCUUCCAACACUGCAGCCCCCCUGAGGAGGAAGGAAGAAGCCUCCUCCGAAUGAAUGGCCGAUAGAAAAGAAGCAAAGCCAUCUCAGAGAAGACAUCUCUAGAAGGCCUGUUAUACUGUAAGGGAGGCAUCCUGAUGUCUGGCUGAAGUCUCUCCUUCUGCAAAAUUGUCUUGGGCUUCCCAGGUGGCUCAGUGGUAAAGAAUCCACCUACUAAUGCAGGAGACGCUAGUUUGAUCCCUGGGUUGGGAAGAUCCCCUGGAGAAGGAAAUGACAAUCUACUCCAGUACUCUUGCUUGGGAAAUCCCAUGGACAGAGGAGCCUGGUGGGUUACGAAAGUCGGACAUGACUGAGCAGCUAAACAACAACAACAUUGCAUUGUUUUCCUUUGUUUCAAGAUUUAUAGCAUAUAAGCAGCUCUUAGAGUGGUAACUAUUGUUAUUAUUUUAUUAAUCAUUAUGUAGAUCAUUAUUUCAUUAAUUACUUCCCUAUUUGAACUCUGCCUUGUUCUCCCCCUCCCCAAAUAUACGGUGGCUAGUAAGGGAUCAUAAAAUACAGCAGAAUACACACAAAGAGCAAGAAAAGAUGGCCAAAACACAAGACGCACACUGCAGGACAGUGCAUACUUUGUGAACCAUUUCUAAAAUGUAUACAAAAUACAAAUCUCAUAUAAUUCUAUAAUUAAUUUAUUAAGAUAAAAAAUAAAAAACUGAACUAAACUUAAGAUAUAGGAUACUGCUAGAUUUGGGGGGAAGGAAAUAGUCCUAGAGUAGAAGGAUGGUGGGCUUUUCUACUUUCUGUGUAAUGUUUCAGUGACUUGAAGUAAAUAGAACAAAAUAUUAACAACUGUCAAUUUUGUGUGGCAGGUACUAGAUAUUGCACUACUUUAUGGACUUUAGAUUUGGAAGAAGAUCUCAGAGUUGUAUUUACUUGCUCAAGUGAGCCAUGAGUUGAUCUCUAAGCUCUCUAAAGGGCAAUAUAAGGAAAGGAGCCAGGUCAGUUCUACAAUUGAUGGUAUCGUGAGUAUCCCGAGGUGAAAAUAUAUCCAGGCUUUGGGAGAGCCCAGAACCUGGUACUGAGAACUCUAGAAGCUAUGCUUAUUCCACAGUGGCUAGUGGGUGGUGGUUUCAGCAGGGGUUUGGGAGUCUGAGAGCUUGUGUGUGUGUGUGUUUCUGGGUGUGUGAUUAGAAGAGGGAGCGAUUGGUCACACAUCUACAGACAUGUAGCUCUUCACCUGAAUUGUCUGUUCUAAAGACUCAGGUGAGAGUCACCUCAGCCCUGAAGAUGGGAGUGCUCAGGGACAAGCUCCUCGUGGUGGCCUUGCCACCAGCCAAUGACUCAGUAUUUUCAAACGGCAUCACAGCAAAGCCCAGUUCAUAAAGCUUUGAGGAGCCCCCACUACUAUUGGGCAGGCCCCAGCUCUCUGCCUAUCAGACCUGGGGUUUUCAAGCCCUUGGAAGACUAAAGGGGCCGUCCAUCCUUAAAGCAAAGAAAUGCAAGCUACUCCUGCCCUUGGCCAAAGCUGUGACCAACACAGGGAGGAGGUGAGGUAGAGAUGGUGCUGCCCACAGGAGCCUGGGAAGGUCACCAAUGUCUUCUUCCCCUUGUGAGGGACCAGUAGUCAGCUGGGUGCAGAGGAGCUGGGAACUCGCCUCUCUAGAGGGCCACCCCUCCUCCUCUGGAGGGGAGCCCAGGUGACUCACCGUUGUGCCAGGUUUUUCCUCAGAAAGCAUUCGAAAUUGGCUCCAGCACCCAAAUGCGCAGCGAUGCAGCACCUAGGGUCAACUCCAGGAGGUGUGCCCG
ensembl:lncRNA